GACGAACGCUGGCGGCGUGCUUAACACAUGCAAGUCGAACGGUAAGGCCCUUCGGGGUACACGAGUGGCGAACGGGUGAGUAACACGUGGGUGAUCUGCCCUGCACUUCGGGAUAAGCCUGGGAAACUGGGUCUAAUACCGGAUAGGACUCCUGCCUGCAUGGGUGGGGAUGGAAAGCUUAUGCGGUGUGGGAUGGGCCCGCGGCCUAUCAGCUUGUUGGUGGGGUGAUGGCCUACCAAGGCGACGACGGGUAGCCGGCCUGAGAGGGUGACCGGCCACACUGGGACUGAGAUACGGCCCAGACUCCUACGGGAGGCGGCAGUGGGGAAUAUUGCACAAUGGGCGCAAGCCUGAUGCAGCGACGCCGCGUGAGGGAUGACGGCCUUCGGGUUGUAAACCUCUUUCAGCACAGACGAAGCGCAAGUGACGGUAUGUGCAGAAGAAGGACCGGCCAACUACGUGCCAGCCGCCGCGGUAA
rnacentral:rRNA from 1 species